rnacentral:rRNA from 1 species
CGGACGGGUGAGUAACACGUGGGCAACCUGCCCUGUAGAUUGGGAUAACUCCGGGAAACCGGGGCUAAUACCGAAUAAUCCAUUUCCUCACAUGGGGAGAUGUUAAAAGACGGCAUCUCGCUGUCACUACAGGAUGGGCCCGCGGCGCAUUAGCUAGUUGGUGAGGUAACGGCUCACCAAGGCGACGAUGCGUAGCCGACCUGAGAGGGUGAUCGGCCACACUGGGACUGAGACACGGCCCAGACUCCUACGGGAGGCAGCAGUAGGGAAUCUUCCACAAUGGACGAAAGUCUGAUGGAGCAAUGCCGCGUGAGUGAAGAAGGUUUUCGGAUCGUAAAACUCUGUUGUGAGGGAAGAACAAGUACGAGAGUAACUGCUCGUACCUUGACGGUACCUCAUUAGAAAGCCACGGCUAACUACGUGCCAGCAGCCGCGGUAAUACGUAGGUGGCAAGCGUUGUCCGGAAUUAUUGGGCGUAAAGCGCGCGCAGGCGGUCCUUUAAGUCUGAUGUGAAAUCCCACGGCUCAACCGUGGAAGGUCAUUGGAAACUGGGGGACUUGAGUACAGAAGAGGAAAGCGGAAUUCCAAGUGUAGCGGUUG